CUGAAAGACGAUCAGGUAGAUAGGUUCGAGAUGGAAGUGCAGCGAUGUACGGAGUUGACGAAUACUAAUAGGUCGAGGACUUAACCAA
rnacentral:rRNA from 1 species